GACGAACGCUGUCGGCGUGCUUAACACAUGCAAGUCGAACGGAAAGGCCCUGCUUUUGUGGGGUGCUCGAGUGGCGAACGGGUGAGUAACACGUGAGUAACCUUCCCUUGACUUUGGGAUAACUUCAGGAAACUGGGGCUAAUACCGGAUAGGAGCUCCUGCUGCAUUGUGGGGGUUGGAAAUUUUCGGCGGUUGGGGAUGGACUCGCGGCUUAUCAGCUUGUUGGUGGGGUAGUGGCUUACCAAGGCUUUGACGGGUAGCCGGCCUGAGAGGGUGACCGGCCACAUUGGGACUGAGAUACGGCCCAGACUCCUACGGGAGGCAGAAGUGGGGAAUAUUGAACAAUGGGCGGAAGACUGAUGCAGCAACGCCGCGUGCGGGAUGAAGGCCUUCGGGUUGUAAACCGCUUUCGCCUGUGACGAAGCGUGAGUGACGGUAAUGGGUAAAGAAGCACCGGAUAACUACGUG
rnacentral:rRNA from 1 species